rnacentral:rRNA from 1 species
GGCUCUUUGAUUUAAAUAAAUAAAGAGUCGAGCCUGCCCAGUGAUAUUUUUAACGGCCGCAGUACCCUGACUGUGCAAAGGUAGCAUAAUCAUUUGCCCUAUAAUUGAGGGCUAGUAUGAACGGCUUGACAAGAACACAACUGUCUCUUUUAAAUUACUUAAAAAUUAACCUAUAGGUGAAGAGGCCUAUUUAAAAUUAAAAGACGAGAAGACCCUAUUGAGCUUCAAAAAUUAAUUAGAUUAACUAAAACUUUUUUUGGUUGGGGCGACCUAGGAACAUUUAAAGCUUCCUAAUUACUAAUUUUUUUAAUAUUGAUCCAGUAAAACUGAUUUAAAAAAUAAGUUACCGUAGGGAUAACAGCGUGAUCUUCUUUAAAAGUCCAUAUUAAAAAGAAGCUUUGCGACCUCGAUGUUGGACUAAAAUAUCCUGAAGAUGCAGAAGUCUUUAAAGGUUGGUCUGUU